rnacentral:rRNA from 2 species
CAAUCAAACCGGGAGAUAGCUGGUUCUCCCCGAAAGCUAUUUAGGUAGCGCCUCGUGAAUUCAUCUCCGGGGGUAGAGCACUGUUUCGGCUAGGGGGCCAUCCCGGCUUACCAACCCGAUGCAAACUGCGAAUACCGGAGAAUGUUAUCACGGGAGACACACGGCGGGUGCUAACGUCCGUCGUGAAGAGGGAAACAACCCAGACCGCCAGCUAAGGUCCCAAAGUCAUGGUUAAGUGGGAAACGAUGUGGGAAGGCCCAGACAGCCAGGAUGUUGGCUUAGAAGCAGCCAUCAUUUAAAGAAAGCGUAAUAGCUCACUGGUCGAGUCGGCCUGCGCGGAAGAUGUAACGGGGCUAAACCAUGCACCGAAGCUGCGGCAGCGAACGUAUCACCCAAGACAACUUUACGGAGUUGACGAUUGACGGAGCGAAGCGACGUCAAAGCGUUCAUUAAAGUCGAGUUGGCUUAGGGAUACGUUCGUUGGGUAGGGGAGCGUUCUGUAAGCCUGUGAAGGUGUGUCGUGAGGCAUGCUGGAGGUAUCAGAAGUGCGAAUGCUGACAUAAGUAACGAUAAAGCGGGUGAAAAGCCCGCUCGCCGGAAGACCAAGGGUUCCUGUCCAACGUUAAUCGGGGCAGGGUGAGUCGACCCCUAAGGCGAGGCCGAAAGGCGUAGUCGAUGGGAAACGGGUUAAUAUUCCCGUACUUGGUGUUACUGCGAAGGGGGGACGGAGAAGGCUAUGUUGGCCGGGCGACGGUUGUCCCGGUUUAAGCGUGUAGGUGUGUGUUCCAGGUAAAUCCGGUUCACUUUAACACUGAGGCGUGACGACGAGGCACUACGGUGCUGAAGCAACAAAUGCCCUGCUUCCAGGAAAAGCCUCUAAGCAUCAGGUAACACGAAAUCGUACCCCAAACCGACACAGGUGGUCAGGUAGAGAAUACCAAGGCGCUUGAGAGAACUCGGGUGAAGGAACUAGGCAAAAUGGUGCCGUAACUUCGGGAGAAGGCACGCUGACACGUAGGUGAAGUGAUUUACUCAUGGAGCUGAAGUCAGUCGAAGAUACCAGCUGGCUGCAACUGUUUAUUAAAAACACAGCACUGUGCAAACACGAAAGUGGACGUAUACGGUGUGACGCCUGCCCGGUGCCGGAAGGUUAAUUGAUGGGGUCAGCGUAAGCGAAGCUCCUGAUCGA